rnacentral:rRNA from 1 species
UCGAGAAUUUUUCACAAUGGACGAAAGUCUGAUGGAGCGACGCCGCGUGGAGGAUGAAGGUUCUUGGAUUGUAAACUCCUGUCACUGCAGAACAAGGAUACGUCAGUUAACAGCCAACGUAUUUGAUGGUAUGCGGAGAGGAAGGGACGGCUAACUCUGUGCCAGCAGCCGCGGUAAGACAGAGGUCCCGAGCGUUGUUCGGAUUCAUUGGGCGUAAAGGGUGUGUAGGAGGUCGGGUAAGUCAGGUGUGAAAUCUCACAGCUUAACUGUGAAACUGCGCUUGAUACUGCUCGGCUAGAGGAUCGGAGGGGGUAACGGAAUUCAUGGUGUAGCAGUGAAAUGCGUAGAUAUCAUGAGGAACACCGGUGGCGAAGGCGGUUACCUGGAAGAUUCCUGACUCUGAAACACGAAAGCCAGGGGAGCAAACGGGAUUAGAUACCCCCGUAGUCC